rnacentral:lncRNA from 1 species
UUGUCCUCCGAGCUUUUAUGCAACAAUAAAAAGAAGGAAAAAACAUGUUGAAUUUAUUUUUUACAGACAAUACUAUAAUAAUCAAAAUAAAAACAUUUCAGACAUAAGAUAAAUUGACAUCUUGCACACUUGAUAAAUCUUAUUUCAUCAGGACAAUUAAUACAUGUGAAAGAAUCUGUACAUAAAAAUUCAAAACAUGCUCACUUAACACUAGAAAAUUGACAGCGAUUAUCUAUUAUUCUGGCUGACCACCAAGAAUACUGUGAGGAUCCGCUAUUGUCAGGCCGAUUCGAGUUAGCGUGAGUAAGUGCACACGGGGUCCAGGUUAAUGAAGAAGUGUAUAGAAGGAACAAUGAUAACCCCAAGUCACAUGCAAACUCAUGUUUAUUUGAGGGAAAUGUGUGGAUAUAUUAAAUACAUGAGAGAAUUUGGCAAAAAUACACAAGAGAAUUCAGACAAUCAAUGAAAUGAUUUUUUUAUCACAAACGACCCUACCAAUUUUUAGUAUUUGCAAACGGGUUGAAAGUUCGCCCCCUAAGUCGCUUAACGUACCUGAAAGAGUCAGACGUGUCAGCUGGAUCGGAACCAAGUUUAUCCAAGAUUUUUACCUCGGUUUUGGGACCAACUUCUGUCCCCUUUCGAAGCUAUUUUUCUACUCUCCUUUGAAAUAUAAUUCAUUGCAUUUUAUAUUAUUUGCUCCAGAUGAC